ensembl:lncRNA
CGGAGACGCGCAGCGUGUCUCCAGCUCCGGGAGAGAAGAAUGGAAAAAGGGGAUAGGGUGGUGGACUCUGUGUGUGCGUGUAGACGAGGGCAACGCGUGGAAAAAAAGAUGAGGAUAAUGGGCAGAAUUUAAAUAGAUUUUAUUUUAAAUAGAUAAAUACACAUAUCAGGAGUUUCCCCUCUCGCUGUGGACGUUUUCUCCCAUUGGAGCGCAGACCAGAGGAGAGGAGCGGAGCCUCUUUGUGAAUCCUGUUUCACUCCCCAGAGUGAAGUGGCAGUGUCAUCUGACCUUUAACCUCAAUAGAAAGAAGGAAAAGCCACUUCAGAGCUGGAGCAAGUGGGGGUGCCCCUCCUCGAAGCCUUGAUUCAGAGGACCUUGAAAAUCAAAGCCAAAUCAAAGAGAAGUAAAGCCUCGGAGGAUCUUGUCAGGGGAGAGUCUUCCUCGCCGAAGGAGAUAAUUCCCGAUUUAAGUGGAACCAU